rnacentral:rRNA from 1 species
GACGAACGCUGGCGGCGUGCUUAACACAUGCAAGUCGAACGGAAAGGCCCUGCUUUUGUGGCGUGCUCGAGUGGCGAACGGGUGAGUAACACGUGAGUAACCUGCCCUUGACUUUGGGAUAACUUCAGGAAACUGGGGCUAAUACCGGAUAGGAGCUCCUGCUGCAUGGUGGGGGUUGGAAAGUUUCGGCGGUUGGGGAUGGACUCGCGGCUUAUCAGCUUGUUGGUGGGGUAGUGGCUUACCAAGGCUUUGACGGGUAGCCGGCCUGAGAGGGUGACCGGCCACAUUGGGACUGAGAUACGGCCCAGACUCCUACGGGGGGCAGCAGUGGGGAAUAUUGCACAAUGGGCGGAAGCCUGAUGCAGCAACGCCGCGUGCGGGAUGACGGCCUUCGGGUUGUAAACCGCUUUCGCCUGUGACGAAGCGUGAGUGACGGUAAUGGGUAAAGAAGCACCGGCUAACUACGUG